AUACGAUAAAAGCAGUUAUUUUCGCCUUGCUGCAGGACCAAUUGAUAAUAUCGAAGAUGUUCUAAAGUCAUUUUUCGAACUUCUUGAAAAAUUUCGUUGGGUUAAAACAGCGCCGUAUACAGAUGGAGGUUCCUGACGGGCAAGAAAAACACCCAUUGUUGCCAACUACAGUUCACAUUAAAGGUCAUUGGAGACCAUAUAACCUGUCAAACAUUGAAGAGAACCAGAAAGGAAUAUGUAACAGUGUACACUCACCAGCAUUGGAAGAGACUACACAUAGCCCGUCUAGGAUGACAGGUAGGUCCUUAUUUUCACUUUAUAAAUGAGCCCCCUCUUUAACAGA